CUUUGAGAUGCGAGAUUCGACUAAAGAACGAACGUGUCACAAACAUCAGAUUCAUACACCAUACACAUUUCAAUCAUGGCUAUUGUUUAUGUUACAGAGAUUACGAGCUCUUGAAGCUUUAGGCCAAACUUCUUAGAACCGCAGAACACACACGACUUAAAACAUAUCGUUUUCAGCACUCCGAAAUCGUACUGAAGUAAAGCAGAAAAGAAGAGAAAGAAAGAAAGGAAAAAGAAGCGAGAGAAGAAAAAGAGGAAAGAAAAAGGAAAAGCAGCAGAAUGGAUACGUGCAUAUAUUAUCAUUUCUUCGAACGACCCUCAUCUUCUAUUGCAACUAAAGGAAUGCAAUAUUAAUUCAAAGACAACCGAAGGUACAAAUCAAAUUUUCUGCUAGGGCCACUGCAAUAUGAGGAGCAUCCGUUACAGACAAGGGUAUCGCACCCGAAUAUUUACUGAAACAGUCUUGCCAUAUUGGCUAAUUGAACAAUGGAAUUGUUCACUAACUCCCUUCCGACGGGGGUCGGAUCCCAUCCAUGGGUACAAAAUGCACAAGAUGGUCAUCCCUCAUAUAUAACUUAUCUCGGCUGCACUGAAACAAUGGGGUCGAUCAUGGAAUCGGACAAGAAGGGCAUGCCCAACAUCCCAUCGCAGCUAAGCGGAAAAUUAUUAGGAACCAAUUGAAAAGGGCAUAAAGUUCCAUUUAUUUCAAGGAAAACUUCGCCCAAUGUUUUAAUCCCUUGAUCACUAGUUCCGAAUAAAUGAAAAAUUACUUCUU